rnacentral:rRNA from 1 species
GUAGUAGCAAAUACUCUAGCGAGGCCCUGGAGGGCUGAGGCGGAGAAGGGUUUCGUGUGAACAGCCGUUGCACACGAGUCAGUCGAUCCUAAGCCCUAGGGGAAACCCGAAGUAUCGCGCCCGCCUUGGGCGCGGUCGGGCGAAAGGGAAUCCGGUCCCCAUUCCGGAACCCGGUCGCGGAACCGUCUCACGUCGGGCCCCCCGCCCUCGCGGCGGGAAGCUCGUCGGGGUGACCCAAAAAGACCCGGAGAAGCCGUCGGGAGGUCGGGGAAGAGUUUUCUUUUCUGUUUGAGCGUUCGGGUUCCCUGGAAUUGCCUAGCGCAGAGAGAGGGAAUGGAGCGCGUAGAGCACCGCAGUUGCGGCGGUGUCCCGACACGCCCCUCGGACCGUGAAAAUCCGGGGACGGGCCACGUGGAGGUCUCGCGCCGGUUCGUACCCAUAUCCGCAGCAGGUCUCCAAGGUGAAGAGCCUCUAGCCGAUAGAUUAAUGUAGGUAAGGGAAGUCGGCAAAUCGGAUCCGUAACUUCGGAAUAAGGAU